CGGACUGAGGGAAAGGAGUUUGUUUCCCUCUCCCUGGUCUGACAGGAAACAGUUUGGCGCUCUCAGUGAGCGCUUCCUGUCAGACCGAGGAGAGAGAAACAAACUCCUCCCCUGAUGUUU